rnacentral:rRNA from 1 species
CAGUAGCCGCGGUAAUACAGAGGAUGCAAGCGUUAUCCGGAAUGAUUGGGCGUAAAGCGUCUGUAGGUGGCUUUUCAAGUCCGCCGUCAAAUCCCAGGGCUCAACCCUGGACAGGCGGUGGAAACUACCAAGCUGGAGUACGAUAGGGGCAGAGGGAAUUUCCGGUGGAGCGGUGAAAUGCGUCGAGAUCGGAAAGAACACCAACGGCGAAAGCACUCUGCUGGGCCGACACUGACACUGAGAGACGAAAGCUAUGGGAGCAAAUGGGAUUAGAUACCCCCGUAGUCCCUGUCUCUUAUAC